rnacentral:rRNA from 1 species
CUACGGGUUGCUGCAGUGAGGAAUAUUGCACAAUGGGGGGAACCCUGAUGCAGCAACGCCGCGUGGAGGAUGACGCAUUUCGGUGUGUAAACUCCUUUUAUAUGUCAAGAAAAUGACGGUAGCAUAUGAAUAAGCACCGGCUAACUCCGUGCCAGUAGCCGCGGUAAUACGGAGGGUGCAAGCGUUACUCGGAAUCACUGGGCGUAAAGGACGCGUAGGCGGGUUGGAAAGUCAGGUGUGAAAUCCUACAGCUUAACUGUAGAACUGCACUUGAAACUUCUAAUCUAGAGUAUGGGAGGGGGAGAUGGAAUUAGUGGUGUAGGGGUAAAAUCCGUAGAUAUCACUGGGAAUACCUAAAGCGAAGGCGAUCUCCUGGAACAUUACUGACGCUAAGGCGUGAAAGCGUGGGGAGCAAACAGGAUUAGAUACCCCUGUAGUC